rnacentral:rRNA from 1 species
ACAAGCGGUGGAUGAUGUGGAUUAAUUCGAUGCAACGCGAAAACCUUACCUACCCUUGACAUGUCCGGAAUCCCGAAGAGAUUUGGGAGUGCUCGCAAGAGAACCGGAACGCAGGUGCUGCAUGGCUGUCGUCAGCUCGUGUCGUGAGAUGUUGGGUUAAGUCCCGCAACGAGCGCAACCCUUGUCAUUAGUUGCCAUCAUUUGGUUGGGCACUCUAAUGAGACUGCCGGUGACAAACCGGAGGAAGGUGGGGAUGACGUCAAGUCCUCAUGGCCCUUAUAGGUGGGGCUACACACGUCAUACAAUGGCCGGUACAGAGGGUAGCCAACCCGCGAGGGGGAGCCAAUCCCACAAAGCCGGUCGUAGUCCGGAUCGCAGUCUGCAACUCGACUGCGUGAAGUCGGAAUCGCUAGUAAUCGCGGAUCAGCAUGUCGCGGUGAGUACGUUCCCGGGUCUU